UCCCGGGCCGCACCAAGGGGAGCAGGCGGCGUGAACUUUACCCGCCGAGGCCAAACUGGCCCAGGCCCGCGGCCGCCGGGCAGCGGUCCGCCCGCGGCCCCGCGCUGCCUCCUGGUCCCUCCGGAACACUUUUCUUCUUCCAAGCCCUUGACAAACCCGAAGGAAACCCCCGGCGCGGUGAGCGCGGCCCCGCGCUUCCCCCUUUUCAGCCGGGAGAGAGAGAUCAUUGUUCAGCUUUGCAGACACUUUCCAUUUGCCCAUUUCCCUGCCCUCAUUAGCCCUCCUGACAAGGCCCCGGGGGCAUGGGGGCCGGAUUAUCCCCAUUUUACAGAAUUGAAAGACAGAGGGGGAGGGAUCCUGCUCCAGGUCACUCAAAGUACGGGGCAGAGAGGACGGCUUUAAUAAAAACAAAAUACCCUGCCCCAAGGUUGUGCCUUGGGGUCUGCGGCCAGGCGGGCUUAGCCUCUUUUUAAAAAAAAAAAAAAGAAAGAAAAAGUGGUCUGUCAAUUUGUGAACAAACCGAACAAUAGAAUCAAAAUGAGUUUGGGAUCAAAGCGGAAGGCUCGGGACUGACCUAAAAUGGUUAGCACCCGGGCAGCUUUGGUGGCCACUCGGGACUCUAGGGGCCAGGAGUACAGAAGCCUCCUCAUGCCUGCCUCUCUAGACAAUUGUGCCCCCAUUCCCCUCUCUAAAAAGGCAAAAACUAAGACUAAAAAUGUUGGCCCAGCAGUUUCUGUGCUUACAAGGACCCGGAAGUUGUCAACUUUCCUAUAGGCUAAAAGGGAUCGGUACCACGUUUUUUCCCCUCAAGUACGAGAGAAUUGGACCAGGCAGCCUGGAACCCACCUGGUCCAAUGUAAUGUGUAUUUCAGGCUGCGGACAAUCGGUGCUGCCGGACUUGAAGCUCCAAUUCCACAUUGCAAGAGAUGCAAAAACUUUCAAUUGCACAAUGGUAAGAAUUGAGAGAACCCAAAAUGUGGCAUUCCCUGGCCCGACAGAUCUAGAGUGAACAAACUACAGAGAAGUGCACUUUAGUUCUGCUCUUCUACCUGGUAGGCUAUGGCAUGCAACUGGCCCAUCUAAUCCACAGCAGCGUCUCAGUCCUCCAACUGACUUGGAAUAUUCUUUGAAGGAGGCCUCAUUGUUUUGCUCUGUCAUGACAGGCUAUGAAAACCAGAGAGGAUUCCAGCACACCAACAGCACUGGAAUCUGCCUUUUGAGAGGCCUCGUCCUGUGUCACCAGACACCCUAGGCCCCUCUUCCGUAACCAGAGAGCUGUGGUGUAAGGAGAAACCUGGAACUGAAUGAGAAUCUGGAACCCAGAAAGGAUUUUCUCCAAAUUAGGCCCUCCUCGUUUGCCCAGUGGCUGUGAAACACAGAACCAGCUCCAGCAUCCCUCAUUCCAAGCAGAGACUGCACAUUCCCAGGGAAGAAGACUGAACAAGGACACACAGAUUGGAGAGCAGGGAGAAUGUUCUCUCCUUUUACUAAGGCGCAUAGUGUGUUGGGAUACAUGGACUAGACCCAAGAGCAAGAGAGCAACCUAUUAUAAUCCAAAGAGUGAGCUGCAAAAUGUGGCACAGAGAUAUGGAGCGGUGGCUGAAGGAGAGGGAAGCGCCUGCAGGGCGAACCUCAGCCCCUUGGGCAGAUGCAUUUUCCAGUCUCCUUUGAAUGUCAGAACAAACAGCUCUAAGAUAAUUUCCUGCGUUUGCUCCUUCCUCCUUCCCUCCCCCCCCACCAAGGGCCAGAUCAUGUCUUUCAGGCCCAAGGGAUCUCAAGAAGGGCUUUUGUCAGGUUCUAUCCUAGCAAUAGAGGGGAAUGACCCAAGCCCUGAGUUAUGCCCCUGCACACGUUUCCCACAAAGGCAAAACAGCAGAUAUCCAGCAGGGCUCUCUGGAGUGAGACCCGGAGCUAGGAGUUUAAGCAAAAGGGCAACUCUGUCAGUUGACGGAAGCCAGAAGCAAAGUUCAAAGCCUGGCCUGGAUUUCCAUCUGGAGUGGUCUGUUCCUUAAAAGUUUGCAACUCGGUGCAAAGAAGCAGCCCCAGUGGAGGCUUCAGGAUCAAUGUGAAAGUCUAGCACUACCAUCUGACAGAGAGCUGGAAAACUUUGGGCUGCAUAUUAAGAGAGGAAAGUGGAUUGAAGUGAGAGUCAAGGCAAUUCAUUAUGUUUCCAGCUUCUAAGUGGGAGUGGCAAAAUGCGAACUGGAGUAGUAGAGGAGAAAGUGGAAUGGAGCCUGAAUUGUACUCCACACAUCUUCCUCAGUUACUGUGUACCUGACAAGGCCAGAAAUCCCAAAGGAGCCCGCCAGGAGGUUUAAAGCACACCCAGGGCACUACCAUCUCACAGAUUUAUGCCACAGGACUCAGAGAAGUGACACCUGGGAGCAAAGUCAAGAAACACUCUAAGAAUCCUGAAUUUUAAAAGGCCACAUUUUACUCACAAAAGGAGGGAUUGCUUCUUUGGUAUCUGGUACUAAAACAAGGUGACAAGAUUCUCCUGAAAUUACCACAAAAGGCAUUAUAGUCUAAUACUGCCUGGUAACAAAGCUGAGCCCUUGAAAACAACCUGGCAUUCAGAGCUGCUAAUGGUACUAACAUUCUCACCAACAUAUUCAUGUAUUUUCCAUAGAUACACAUACUAUACAUCCACAUAUGGGGUCCCCAGACAUCUCACUGGUAGCUUUCUGUCUAUUCUUUUAGAAAAGGCAGAGUAAACCCAUUAAUAAAAAACAUGGA